rnacentral:rRNA from 1 species
UUCCGGUUGAUCCUGCCGGACCUUACUGCUAUCGGGAUGAGACUAAGCCAUGCAUGUCGAGCGCUCUUCAGCUAUGUAGAGAGCGCGGCGAACGGCUCAAUAACACGUAGUUAACCUACCCUCGGGAUGGGAAUAACCCCGGGAAACUGGGAUUAAUACCCACUAGAUGAUUAUACCUGGAAUGGCUUAUCAUCGAAAGAGUCUGGAAACAUGCUUCCAGCGUCGCCCGAGGAUGGGACCGCGUCCGAUCAGGUAGUUGGUGUGGUAAUGGCCUACCAAGCCUAUAACCGGUACGGGCCCUGAGAGGGGGAGCCCGGAGAUGGAAACUGAGAAAAGGUUCCAGGCCCUACGGGGUGCAGCAGGCGCGAAACCUCCACAAUGCGCGAAAGCGUGAUGGGGUUAUCCCGAGUGCCGUCCGAUGAGGAUGGCUUUUUAUCGAUGUAAGGAUUCGAUAGAAUAAAGGGGGGGCAAGACUGGUGUCAGCCGCCGCGGUAAUACCAGCCCCCUGAGUGGUAAGGACGAUUAUUUGGCCUAAAGCGUUCGUAGCCGGCUUAUCAAGUCUUUUGUUAAAUCCAACGAUUUAAUCGUUGGGCCGCAAAAGAUACUGUUAUGCUAGAGGACGGGAGAGGUCGACGGUAGUCCAGGGGUAGGGGUGAAAUCCUAUAAUCCUUGGAGGACCACCAGUGGCGAACGCGGUCGACUAGAACGUGCCUGACGGUGAGGGACGAAAGCUGGGGGAGCGAACCGGAUUAGAUACCCGGGUAGUCCCAGCUGUAAACGAUGCGGGCUAGGUGUUGGGGCAGCCACGAGCUGCUCCAGUGCCGCAGAGAAGUUGUUAAGCCCGCCGCCUGGGGAGUACGGCCGCAAGGCUUGAAACUUAAAGGAAUUGGCGGGGGAGCACCACAAGGGGUGAAGGCUGCGGUUUAAUUGGAAUCAACGCCGGU